UGGAGGAAAGCAGGGGAUCGUAAGACCUUGCGCUUUUGGAGCGGCCGAUGUCUGAUUAGCUAGUUGGUGGGGUAAUGGCCUACCAAAGCUUCGAUCAGUAGCUGGUCUGAGAGGACGGCCAGCCACACUGGGACUGAGACACGGCCCAGACUCCUACGGGAGGCAGCAGCGGGGAAUUUUGGACAAUGGGCGCAAGCCCGAUCCAGCCAUGCCGCGUGAGUGAAGAAGGCCUUCGGGUUGUAAAGCUCUUUCAGCCGGGAAGAAAAGGCUGCGAUUAAUAAUCGCAGUUCAUGACGGUACCGGAAGAAGAAGCACCGGCUAACUACGUGCCAGCAGCCGCGGUAAUACGUAGGGUGCGAGCGUUAAUCGGAAUUACUGGGCGUAAAGGGUGCGCAGGCGGUUUUGUAAGUCAGAUGUGA
rnacentral:rRNA from 1 species